rnacentral:rRNA from 1 species
UACAGAGGGGGCAAGCGUUAUUCGGAAUUAUUGGGCGUAAAGGGCGCGUAGGCGGCUUGGCAAGUGGAUGGUGAAAUCCCUCGGCUUAACCGAGGAACUGCCGUCCAAACUGCUUCGCUUGAGACCGGGAGAGGUGAGUGGAAUUCCCAGUGUAGCGGUGAAAUGCGUAGAUAUUGGGAGGAACACCAGUGGCGAAGGCGGCUCACUGGACCGGUACUGACGCUGAUGCGCGAAAGCGUG